rnacentral:rRNA from 1 species
GACGAACGCUGGCGGCGUGCUUAACACAUGCAAGUCGAACGGAAAGGCCCUGCUUUUGUGGGGUGCUCGAGUGGCGAACGGGUGAGUAACACGUGAGUAACCUGCCCUUGACUUUGGGAUAACUUCAGGAAACUGGGGCUAAUACCGGAUAGGAGCUCCUGCUGCAUGGUGGGGGUUGGAAAGUUUCGGCGGGUGGGGAUGGACUCGCGGCUUAUGAGCUUGUUGGUGGGGGAGUGGCUUACCAAGGCUUUGACGGGUAGGCGGCCUGAGAGCGUGACCGGCCACAUUGGGACUGAGAUACGCCCCAGACUCCUACGGGAGGCAGCAGUGGGGAAUAUUGCACAAUGGGCGGAAGCCUGAUGCAGCAACGCCGCGUUCGUGAUGACGGCCUUCGGGUUGUAAACCGCUUUCGCCUGUGACGAAGCGUGAGUGACGGUAAUGAGUAAAGAAGCACCGGCUAACUACGUG